AGAAGAGAAGAGAAGAGAAGAGAAGAGAAGAGAAGAGAAGAGAAGAGAAGAGAAGAGAAGAGAAGAGAAGAGAAGAGAAGAGAAGAGAAGAGAGAAAAAGAAGAAAAAAAAGGAACUUCCAUCAAAAAUCCAGCCCAGGCUGCAACUGGAGUCUGAGAGUUGUUCCGUCCUUCCAGGCUGCAGUAAAAAAUACAGUUUGACAUUAUAUUGAAUCAUGAAUAAGAAGAUUCCAACUGACAGUGAAAUUCAACCCCAGAUAUGACUUACCCUACAAGGCAGUGGAGAUCAGUGCUGUUGGUUUCACUGAAGCUACCUCUGACUGAAGCCAUUCUAGCUGAGAUGAUUAUUGUCUAUUAAGGUUUCCUUUAGAUUUACUCUCAUUGUACUUCUCAGUGAAAAAUAGUACAUGACUGAAAGCAAAUCUAAUUGGGUGUAAUUCAUGGAACAACACCUGCUGUUGCAAGUUGGGAUUAAAAAACACUAGGAGACAUGUUAAGAUAAUGUGAGAUCAGUGCUGAAAUGGUGUAAAUGACUGUAGCUCCAUUUUUUAUCUCUUGUGUGUGCAUGCCUUAAGCCUUAUU